rnacentral:rRNA from 1 species
GACCUCUUUUAUCAAGGCAAGAAGAUCUGACGGUACUUGAUCAAUAAGCCAUGGCUAAUUCCGUGCCAGCAGCCGCGGUAAUACGGGAGUGGCAAGCGUUGUCCGGAAUUAUUGGGCGUACAGAGCUCGUAGGUGGUCGAUCACGUCGGAUGUGAAAAUCUGAGGCUUAACCUCAGACCUGCAUUCGAUACGGGUUGACUAGAGUGUGGUAAGGGAGACUGGAACUCCUGAUGUAGCGGUGGAAUGCGCAGAUAUCAGGAGGAACACCGAUGGCGAAGGCAGGUCUCUGGGCCAUUACUGACACUGAGGAGCGAAAGUGUGGGGAGCGAACAGGAUUAGAUACCCUGGUAGUCCACACCGUAAACGGUGGGCGCUAGUUGUGGGAACCUUCCAAGGUUUCUGCGACGCAGCUAACGCAUUAAGCGCCCCGCCUGAGCGAGUACGGACGCCAGACUAACAACUCAAAGAAAUCGACGGGGCCCCGCACAAGCAGAGGAGAAUGGGAAUAAUUAGACGCAACGCGAA